rnacentral:rRNA from 1 species
CUACGGGGUGCAGCAGUGGGGAAUAUUGCACAAUGGGCGCAAGCCUGAUGCAGCCAUGCCGCGUGUAUGAAGAAGGCCUUCGGGUUGUAAAGUACUUUCAGCGGGGAGGAAGGGAGUAAAGUUAAUACCUUUGCUCAUUGACGUUACCCGCAGAAGAAGCACCGGCUAACUCCGUGCCAGCAGCCGCGGUAAUACGGAGGGUGCAAGCGUUAAUCGGAAUUACUGGGCGUAAAGCGCACGCAGGCGGUUUGUUCAGUCAGAUGUGAAAUCCCCGGGCUCAACCUGGGAACUGCAUCUGAUACUGGCAAGCUUGAGGCUCGUAGAGGGGGGUAGAAUUCCAGGUGUAGCGGUGAAAUGCGUAGAGAUCUGGAGGAAUACCGGUGGCGAAGGCGGCCCCCUGGACGAAGACUGACGCUCAGGUGCGAAAGCGUGGGGAGCAAACAGGAUUAGAUACCCGCGUAGUC